UACGGAGGGGGCUAGCGUUGUUCGGAAUUACUGGGCGUAAAGCGCGCGUAGGCGGCUUUGUAAGUCAGAGGUGAAAUCCCGGGGCUCAACUCCGGAACUGCCUUUGAAACUGCAUCGCUUGAAUCCGGGAGAGGUGAGUGGAAUUCCGAGUGUAGAGGUGAAAUUCGUAGAUAUUCGGCGGAACACCAGUGGCGAAGGCGACUCACUGGCCCGAUACUGACGCUGAGGCGCGAAAGCGUGGGGAGCAAACAGG
rnacentral:rRNA from 1 species